AAUCAACGCUGGCGGCGUGCCUCAGACAUGCAAGUCGAACGCGAAAGGCUCCUUCGGGGGCCGAGUAGAGUGGCGCACGGGUGAGUAACACGUAGGUAAUUUGCCUUUGGGUGGGGAAUAACUCAGGGAAACUUGAGCUAAUACCGCAUAAUGCAGCGGCUCGACAUCGAGACAGUUGUUAAAGCGGGGGAUCGCAAGACCUCGCGCCUGAAGAGAAGCCUGCGGCAGAUUAGCUAGUUGGUAGGGUAAUGGCCUACCAAGGCGACGAUCUGUAACCGGCCUGAGAGGGCGGUCGGUCACACUGACACUGACAUACGGGUCAGACUCCUACGGGAGGCAGCAGUCGGGAAUUUUGGGCAAUGGGCGCAAGCCUGACCCAGCAACGCCGCGUGAAGGAUGAAAUCCCUCGGGAUGUAAACUUCGCAAGAA
rnacentral:rRNA from 1 species